rnacentral:rRNA from 1 species
UUCGCCUGUUUAUCAAAAACAUGUCUGUAUGAGUCCCAUAUAAAGUCUGGCCUGCCCACUGAACUGGUGUUUUAAAUGGCCGCGGUAAUUUGACCGUGCGAAGGUAGCAUAAUCAAUAGCCUUUUAAUUGAAGGCUGGAAUGAACGGUCGGACAAAGAGUAUACUGUCUUUUAUUUAAGGAUUGAAUUUUACUUUUAAGUGAAAAGGCUUAAAUAGCUUGGAGGGACGAUAAGACCCUAUAAAACUUUACAGUACAUGUUGUAGUCCCUGAAUUUUGGUUUAAAAGAGGGUAUAAGGUUUCUGUUUUGUUGGGGCGAUAAAGAUAUAAUACUGAAUAACUGUCGUUAAUAUAUAAUAAAGAUCAUUAGUGUAAUUGAUCCUUUCUUAGAGAUUAAAAGAUCAAGUUACUUUAGGGAUAACAGCGUAAUUUUCUCUGAGAGUUCUUAUCGACGAGAGUAGUUGCGACCUCGAUGUUGAAUUAAGAUUUCUUUUAGGUGUAGCAGCUUGAAGAGUAGGUCUGUUCGACCUUUAAAAUCUUACAUGAUUUGAGUUCAAACCGGUGUGAGCCAGGUGGGUUUCUAUCUAA